UACGUAGGGGGCAAGCGUUGUCCGGAAUUAUUGGGCGUAAAGCGCGCGCAGGCGGUCAUUUAAGUCUGGUGUUUAAUCCUGGGGCUCAACCCCGGGUCGCACUGGAAACUGGGUGGCUUGAGUACAGAAGAGGAGAGUGGAAUUCCACGUGUAGCGGUGAAAUGCGUAGAUAUGUGGAGGAACACCAGUGGCGAAGGCGACUCUCUGGGCUGUAACUGACGCUGAGGCGCGAAAGCGUGGGGAGCGAACAGG
rnacentral:rRNA from 1 species